UACGAAGGGGGCGAGCGUUGUUCGGAUUUAUUGGGCGUAAAGCGCGCGUAGGCGGCUGCGCAAGUCGGUUGUGAAACCCCGGGGCUCAACCCCGGAACUGCAUCCGAUACUGCGUGGCUAGAGGUAGGUAGGGGAGAUCGGAAUUCCUGGUGUAGCGGUGAAAUGCGCAGAUAUCAGGAGGAACACCGGUGGCGAAGGCGGCUCACUGGCUCGUUGCUGACGCUCAGGCGCGACAGCGUGGGGAUCAAACAGG
rnacentral:rRNA from 1 species